GUUUGAAAAUCUAUUAGUAGAACCUUCAUCUACCUAUCAAAUACCAGUCUGCCUAUGUGUCACCAUGAUUUCUGCCAUGAUAGUGAAAGACUGAAGCUCUGAACCAGAAAAUCCUAGUGUCAUACUUUAUGGGGGAUAUUGCUGAGUGUCAACCAACAACUGACACAGUGGAAGCACUUUCUGCCUACUUCAUGCUACCGUGACCUUGUCUUUGAUAUAUUGUUUAUCACCUCUCUUCAGACUCUCCCAUGGAAGCAAUACCAGAUAAUUUUGCUACCUGCUGUGACAUCUGGAGAGACUUCCUCACACAAAGCAAGAUGUCUUAGUUGGUGGUCACCAUACACUUGGAUCCCAAAGAAGGAGGUUUUAAUGCCAAUGAAGGAAUGAGCUAGCCAUGAUGAGUCUGGGAUAUCAGGCAAAGAAUAAAAUCUUUCUUCUCUCAUGUUCUUUAUAUAGGUUGCCCGCAGGUGUGGUCCAUAUUUAAGGUGGAUCAUUCCCUGUAAAUAAUCUUAUCUAGAAUAAUCCCUUACAGGUAUGUCCAGAUUCUUAGCAUUUAGUUCAUUCUAGAUAUAGUCACAUUGCCUAUAUCCAUGAACACCAUUGCAGCAGUCUUUAAAAUAUUCCACAAGAUGACUGAUUUUUUUCUCCUCAUUAUCAUUUUUUUUGUAACUCUAAGCUUGCCCCAACUUAUAUAAAUUUUUAUCAUUUCCAAA